AUACUCUGGUUUCUCUUCAGAUCGUAUAAAUCUUUCGCCUUUUACUAAAGAAAUAAGAUACUAUGGAAUUAAAGAAAUAAAACAGAGUUAAGAAUGCACCUUUCUAAGUCAGAUAUUUUUCUGUCU
rnacentral:snRNA from 1 species